rnacentral:rRNA from 1 species
UACGUAGGGUGCGAGCGUUGUCCGGAUUUAUUGGGCGUAAAGAGCUCGUAGGCGGUUUGUCGCGUCGGCCGUGAAAUCUCCACGCUUAACGUGGAGCGUGCGGUCGAUACGGGCAGACUUGAGUUCGGUAGGGGAGACUGGAAUUCCUGGUGUAGCGGUGAAAUGCGCAGAUAUCAGGAGGAACACCGGUGGGCGAAGGCGGGUCUCUGGGCCGAUACUGACGC